rnacentral:rRNA from 1 species
CUACGGGUCGCUCCAGUGGGGAAUUUUGCGCAAUGGGCGAAAGCCUGACGCAGCAACGCCGCGUGAGUGAUGAAGGCCUUCGGGUCGUAAAGCUCUGUCAAGUGGGAAGAACCUAUGUAAUGUUAAUAUCAUUAUAUACUGACGGUACCACUGAAGGAAGCACCGGCUAACUCCGUGCCAGCAGCCGCGGUAAUACGGGGGGUGCAAGCGUUAUUCGGAAUCAUUGGGCGUAAAGGGCACGUAGGCGGCCUGGUAAGUCAGAUGUGAAAGCCCGGGGCUUAACCCCGGAAGUGCAUUUGAUACUGUCAGGCUUGAGUAUGGGAGAGGGAAGUGGAAUUCCUGGUGUAGAGGUGAAAUUCGUAGAUAUCAGGAGGAACACCGGUGGCGAAGGCGACUUCCUGGACCAAUACUGACGCUGAGGUGCGAAGGCGUGGGUAGCAAACAGGAUUAGAUACCCCAGUAGUC